UGCCCCAUCCCCAUGCAAACAGCAUUGGGCAGGAGCCUAAAUACAAACUCCUUCCCUCUCUUCCCCCAAGAAUGGAAACUGAUGCUUCCAUCAGGCAUUUCAGCAGUGACCUCAGGUCUAGAGCUCGGAGUGCCACACCAAACCCAUGGGCACAUCAGUGCUGCACGAUGCUGGGAGGACAGCCUGUGUUGGACAGGGCACCGGGACAGCUGAGUGCACUCCAGCACACUGCAAAGCUAUGAUGGAGUAACUGCAGGAAGACACGGAUGCAUGCAUGAGCACAGAUGGAAAAGGCUGGGAAAGGAGAACAUGGGUCCACCUAAGCAGAUUGCAACCGUGAUGGGAAUUUCUCAGGCUACCCAUUACAAAACAGCCACGGUGCAUUCACUCCUCAGCUCCUCUCCAAAAACCACCAGCUGAAAUGAGACCCACCAAGAUCUGCCAAGGGGAAAUCUUGCCCUUUGGCCAUUGCCCCUUGGCUCAUGUAGUCAAGACACAGAGGAAUCCUGGGGAUGCUUCAGGAGACUACUGCAGCCAAAGAGCUUGCGGGUGCCCUCUUACUUUUGUGGUAUCCAUCCCAUAGGGUCUUGUACCCACCACUGUAACAAAACAUUUGCAGAGAGUAAUUUGGAGCUGUCUGCUACAUAUUCAGGUGCACACGAACAAAAGGCACUCCUUGCAUUGUGAAUACUUUCUUCAAGUACGAGCUGUUGUCCAAUUCUCCACAAUGGCCAACUCCUAUGAUGUUAUAGUGGGUAGUACUACAGAUAGUGACUUUCCACUACACUGGUUUUCACAGCUAAGAACCUCAUCUCUGAUUUAAAGUCAGUUUUUACCCUCUGUGAAUGGAAGGACCUGAGCACCUUCGAUGCAAAAACCAGAAGGCAACAUGUGCCCAGCUCUGUGUACUAAAACCUCAGGAUUUCUAAGCCAAUCUCAAGAUUUCACUUUUUUGCUACUAACAUGACUAGUGUCAUAUGAAAAAGAAACAGCUCCCAGUCUGCAGGCGGUUCAUAUAAGUGCUAUAAACCAACAAACCAACUGAACUGGUUUGCUGCAAGUAUGCUCUACAAAGAGCUUCCUUAGUCCAUCUGUUAAUCUUACACAGUGCACAUGACAUCCCAAAACUGAGUAUCUUGUCAGGAAUGACACUUAGAUCCCAGGUAUUUCAGGUUGCAUGUAACCACUUAGCACAUUGCUGUCACUGCCCUUUCAGCUCAGGCAUGUAGAGGUGUGCUCCAUCCAUACAGACAACAGCUCAUGGUGUGUGCUGUUGGUUGUGUGCAGGCUCCUCUGUAGCUGCAGCAGCAUCAGCAGCUUUUCUACAGGGCAAAGGCAGGCUGAGGAAAGCCUACAGCUAUCAAACCACCUCAUCUAACACAGCCCAUACCAGAAGGUUCAUACCACCAGCCAGCAUCCUAGAGCAUGUCCUGCAUCACAGCUCCUUCUGUUGCUAAACACAGGUAAGAGACAGCAGUGAGCACCCAGAGCAGUUAAGAGGCUUUGCAGCCAGCAGGAGAACAUAACUUGGACCGGUGACCACUGCCCCUGCAGAAGGAUGCUGGGAUAAGGAUAAAACAGAAGGGAUCUUCUUGCCACCCUACCUUAACACCUCACAACACAUGUUGUGUUUGAACCCCUUUCCUCCUGCUCUAAGACUGAGAAACAAAGGCCAGGGAGAGUCAGGCUCCAGACCAGAAGUACCACAGCUCUGCAAGCUGGAAACCUUCAACCUGAGGGACAUCUCCACCAGAAGCACUGAUGAUUUCUCUCCAAAUGAGCCUCAUCGAAGCCUAUUUCAGAGCCACAGGAGGGCGAGCUGGGGAGGAGGACUUCAAGGCUGCUUUCAAACGAACUGAAUCAGAGGUUUACCCAACCCCUCUCUGUCAGAAGUUUCUGAAUAACGCACCAGCUUGAACCACUGGAAAGAAACAAAUAAAUGAGCUGGCAACUUUCACAGGGAGGAGCCUUGAAGCCCAGUUCCCAAGACCACGCCAACCAGCUCCGUGUGACAGCAUACAGGAAUGAAAAUAGACAAGUGGAAUGAGCUCCCUGGAACCAGCGGGUGGUGUAUGCUCAGCUGCUCAGAGCAAUAUUCGCCUUGCCUGUUCCCAGCGAGGACAGCUGACAUCAGAGGAGCCAUGGACCAUUCAGCAGGCAGGAGAGCCCACAGCUUGGAUGGUGGACAUCAAAGUGCUACGUAACAUGCAGAUGUUUUCCAUGCAGAGGCUGAGAAAAGUGAUGGCCAAGAUUCUGUAAACCCUGUAAGCCCUAUGCUGUGGUUUUGAAUUCAUUUUCUCCUCACAGCCCUGUUUCCUUGCCUUUUCUUACAUGGAGGCAUGAUGGGUUAUAGCCUCUGCUGAUACAACUUGAUGUGACCCCAUUGACUCCACAGAGUUGUUUACACAGGUUGCAAAUCAUUCCCAUCAAUUUAAAUCUAUGCAGAUUUGCAUCAUGGGGAAUAGUGCUACAUUAUUCUCCAUAGCUAAUAAGCUUCUUAAAAUUAAGAAAAUCAAAUACCCUGGACAUCCAUUACACCUGCAUUUGGAGAUAAGGAUUUCAGAGGCUGCCUUCUCCCACCCUAUCUCAUGGUCCUCAUCCUGCUCCUCUGUUUAUUAGAGGGUCCUCCCAGUGCCAUGUGAGCCAGAGCUGAGUUGCUGGGGACAGUGGCCAUGGAUGUGCCCACAGCUGGAUCUGCUUGACACAUAGCGAUAUUCCCUUUCCAUCUGCAGCUAACACUGUGAAUAUAACCCAUCCCUGAAUCCCCCUUAGCACAGGGCUCUCUUCACUACCACCCAGGCUCUCAUAUAUGGGAUGUAGGUAAAAAUCCCUGCUCUGUUUGAUAGAGGGCAGCAAGUCCAAUGCACAGCUCCCUCUGCCCAGGCGAACUCCUCAACCAGCAAGCUAAUAGCUGUUUUAUAAAGUCCUCCUUCCCUUUCAUUUUCAUUUCAUGCACCAUUUCUGAGGCCUUGCUUUCAUCUUCCUGUGGCAUUAAAACCUAUUUGAAACCUCACCAUUUUCCAUGAAACAAAAUUCUUGUGUCCCCACUUGCCCUAACCAGAAGCCCUGUACCACCACAUCUGCAAACCACUGUAUUGUGCUAGGACCUUGUGCUGUCCUGCAAGGAACACAGCGAGGUUUCACACUAAACUUCCCUCCAGUAAAUAAGUGCCCAUCUAUACCUACAGCACACAUGGAGACAGACACUUCCCAUCAGGAAGCAGUUGGCUGAGAGCUGCAAACUCAACAGCAACAACUCCUCUGCUGGGCAAUAUGCUGACUGAGCCUGAUUUUGGGAUGCACUGAAUUAUCCUGAAGAGCCAAGUGACUUAAGUGCUAAAUUCCUUACCAUACGUACUGAUUUAAUUUGACCAUUUAAGUUUUCCAGGCUUUUUUGGAAGCCCCAGUUGAGAUUUCAGGAACCAGUAUGUCCAAGACAGUCCCACAGGUUGAACACUGUCAUUAAAAGCAUGACCUGUUCCUGCUUAAGGCAAAUGAUGGAGUCCCUGCAGGAGUGGCAAUGAAUUAAGUGGCUGGAUCAUCCGUCUCAGCAGUCGUUCUACAUGAGGAAGCAAGACCCAAGACCACUGCAGAUAUCUGAGGCCAUGAUAGAAGUCUUACAUUUGAUGCUGCCCGUAACACAUGUUGGGAUGCAUUUUCUGGAUGAAUCAAGGAGAGAGCAUCCAAGAUCUUAAAUCAACCAAGAGCAACCUCUAGUGUGAAGCAUCCCUACCCAUGGCAGAAGGGCUGGAAACAGACGAUCUUAAGGUCUUUUCCAACCCAAACCAGUCUGCGAUUCUAUGAUUCUAAGAUGAUGAGGAGCUGGAGCUCAUGAUGACCAAGGAGAGGCUGAGAGCAUUAGAUUCAGACAGCUUCAAGAAGAGAAGAUGAAGGGGGUAGGGGGGAUGUAUUCCUGUCUCAGCUACCUCAGAGACAGUAUCAAGAAGACAAAGCCAGGCUCUUUCUGAGGCGCACAGCUCUGCUGCUCAUAGUAUGACCACUGCACUAUGUGUACGUGCCACCCUGUAUGCUGCUUUCCACACCAUCUCCUGCUCUGAGAUCAAUGUUUCCAUCCCGUUCCAUUCCUCUUUCCCCUUAGCUAACUUGCUAGAGGUUAAGCUGCCUCUCAGACAGCCCCCAUCCCACUUAGCCUGUAUCCUGGGAUUUUCUUUCAUGAAAAAGGCACUGUAAAGGCUCUGGAGCGUGUGCUAUGAUUUACACGUUUUCAUCUCCUGCAGCAAGCCUGCCGUCUCUGUGAUGAUACCAUUCAGCUCCGUUUACCUGAGAACUUACAAAAAUACCAUCCCGGGUUGUUUUUUCCAUAUGGGUAAAUAGUACGGGUGGGAGUAUUCCUUAUGGGAAACCUGGAACAGUCGCACUCUGUCGGCCUGACAUUUCCUGCUGUAAUUGAAACUUUUGAUGUUAAAAAUUCCAUGCACACAGUGUCUCUCUCUAAGCCAGGCAGGGAGAAGGGCAGGGGUGGGCGCAGCGUUAGCACGCACUUUCCGCCAGCUCCCCCACUGCAGCUAGUUAAACUAUAGCAGGUGAGAUGCGUAGAUGUAAGGGAAGGAAUAUGAGGAAGGAAAUGCCAGCUGAGUUAGGUAAUUUGGGGCAGAGGAAGCCAGACGUAGUUAUAGGGGCAGGUACAGAUUAAAUCAACUUGAGGCUCUAGGUCUCUGCAUCUUGCCCAUACCCUGGUCCAGGAGGGCAGGGAGAGAUGCAUCCGUGUGCUCACAGGGGAUGUGCAUCCUGGACCUUGAGAGGACAGGAAAACAGCUUCCUUAGAAGUGCUAGGGACCAAUGGGAGAAAUAACUUGGCCCUUUUGCAAGGUAAAGGAUGUUUAGCUGAGCAUCUUUAAAAAUCCUACCUGAUGCUAUACAACCUAAUCCUCAAUGAAAUCAGUUAAACAACCAAAUCCUAACCCAAAUCCCAGCAGAAAUCCAGGCAGAGGAGCCACUGUUGCCAAACAUGAGCUUAUCCUAGCACCACUUCCAGACCUUAUGCCUGAGGACAUUCAGUGUUCCCAGGCUGGAUCAGAUCACUUGAAUUAAGACAGUUGGGGAAUGAAUCAUAGAAUCACAGAAUGGUUUGGGUUAGGUAGGACCUUAAGAUCAUCCAGUUCCAACCCCCCUGCCAUGAGCAGGGACACCUCACACUAAACCAUAUCACCCAAGGCUUCAUCCAA